rnacentral:rRNA from 1 species
GGACCCGCACAAGCGGUGGAACAUGUGGUUUAAUUCGAGGCAACGCGAAGAACCUUACCAAGACUUGACAUGCCCUCUAUGGAGAACAGAAAUGAUCUCCUUCACCUCGGGUGGGAGGAGCACAGGUGCUGCAUGGCUGUCGUCAGCUCGUGUCGUGAGAUGUUGGGUUAAGUCCCGCAACGAGCGCAACCCUCAUCCUCUGUUGCUAACAGGUAAUGCUGAGAACUCUGAGGAAACUGCCGGUGAUAAGCCGGAGGAAGGUGGGGAUGACGUCAAGUCCUCAUGGCCCUUACGUCUUGGGCUACACACGUGUUACAAUGGCGGUGACAAUGGGCUGCAAACCCGCAAGGGUAAGCGAAUCUCAAAAAGCCGCCUCAGUUUGGAUUGUACUCUGCAACUCGAGUACAUGAAAUUGGAAUCGCUAGUAAUCGCGGAUCAGCACGCCGCGGUGAAUACGUUCCCGGGUCUU